CCACGGUAACCGCGGGCCGCCAGGAAUGCGCGCUAAUUGAAGGCCGAGUUUCCUCCCACAGUGAUGAGCAACAAGUGAAGCAAAAAUAGGCAGUGAACGGCCGCGAACGACGUCAUUUAUGGUUCAAAAAUCUUAGGGCAAUUUUUUCAGAAAACAACUAUUACGUCAAACCCCCACCUCUUUGCUGGGCCCCUCUGCUCGAUUCAGGUACCUAGAUGAAUGGAGAUGUACGUGCACAUACAUAGGUCCCCAGGAACGAAAUGCCAGAUAGCAGCAGGGUUCAGCAGGUGGAGUCCAGAGAGAAGCAUCCAGGCUGGGGGACAAUGCCGAGCUGGGAGAGCUGUGCUAAAGUGACGAAAGAAGAUGGACGAGAGAUACCCAAAGAAGCCUCCAGGAAAACACAUCGCUUGCUCCAGGAGUGUGUUCCCAGAGUGUCGACACAGCUCCAGCGUUUCUCACAGCCUCUGCUGCCAGGAAAGGAUAAAACACCACCCAUAUUCAGGAACAAAGACAGAGUGAACCCUCCUUCAAGUCUUAUUGCUAGAUGGCACCUGUUGCUAAAAUAGCAGCUGCCGCCAUUGUUUGCUCCUCUACUUUGCUGAGGCUGAGAGGCAGCUUGUCUGUCCACACCUCUGACAGCAGUGAUGGGAUGAGGAGAAAGCAGGAGCAGGGAGCAGAGGAUGAUCAAUGGGAUCCCAGGAGUCAGUCUCACUUUUGGAGCAAAGAAUCCCCAGCCAUCUGACAGCUGAGCUGGUCCUGAUAACUAACCUG
rnacentral:lncRNA from 1 species